GAUGAACGCUGGCGGCGUGCCUAAUACAUGCAAGUCGAGCGAACAGAUGAGGAGCUUGCUCCUCUGACGUUAGCGGCGGACGGGUGAGUAACACGUGGAUAACCUACCUAUAUGACUGGGAUAACUUCGGGAAACCGGAGCUAAUAGCGGAUAAGAUAUUGAACCGCAUGGUUCAAUAGUGAAAAACGGUGUUGGGGUCACUUAUAGAGGGAUCCGCGCCGCAUUAGCUGGUUGGUAAGGUAACGGCUUAUCACGGCAACGAUGCGUAGACGACUUGAGGGGGUGGUCGGCCACACUGGAACUGAGACACGGUCCAGACUCCUACGGGAGGCAGCAGUAGGGAAUCUUCCGCAGUGGGCGAAAACUUGACGGAGCAACGCCGCGUGAGUGAUGAAGGUCUUCGGAUCGUAAAACUCUGUUAUUAGGGAAGAACAAAUGUGUAAGUAACUGUGCACGUCUUGACGGUACCUAAUCAGAAAGCCACGGCUAACUACGUG
rnacentral:rRNA from 1 species